CCUAGCCUACUUUGAGAGAUUGGGUAAUUAGGAGUCUGGAGAGGUGACCUCACUCAGCCCAUAAGGUAUAAUUGUAAACUAACUCAAGUCUAAUUUGCUCAAUUGCUUUGUGCAGUUGCAGCCCGUACUUGCAAGUCCGUAAUAAAUUGUCUUGUUUCCAGA